GAGAAAAAGGGAGACGUGGACUUACACCGACUUAGAAGGACCGAGAAGGGUAUAGAGCUCUCUAGGUGGAGCUCUCGAGGAGAUAUAGAGAGAAGGUCACCAACUCUCCUCCUUCGGAAGACUCCCGGGACUUUCUUGGGCUUGUAUUAGUGGAGGGGAGGGGAGGAGAGAGAGGAAGAGCUCUCUAAUAGUGAAAGGGCACAGAUACGUCUCUCUUUCUCAUUCAAUCAACUCUCUCACUUUCACUCUCCCUCUCUCUGUCGGAUUACGGUGAUAACAUCGAUCGUGUGAAGAAUGAAAGGGAAGAGAUCCGGUCACUUGCUGUGGGAUAUCGAACUGAAAAGGAAGAUGAUUUCUUGAUCGGGCCUCUGACGAUGAGGUAUCACUCAACAAUUUGAUGUUUAUGUAGCGAUUGAUUUCUUCGGAGGAACACCCAGGUAAUGACUCAAUGGUAAGAGUGAAUCCAAUUUUAUUUUUAUCAAAGUGCAGCAAAAGGAAUGAAAUGGUAUAGAAUCAAUUACCAUACAUGCUUGUAGAUUCAGAUUAGCUCUCUAAUACCCACAUUAGGUUCGGUAUAAUCUGAGGUCAGGGUGUUACAAAUGGUAUCAGAGCGGGGAUAUGAUCACUGGGUUAAGGAAACAAAUAUAAUUGUUGUAUAGAUUUCAUGAUUUACAAAUUUGAUAAUGAUCGGUGUGAUGAUUUUCGAUCAAGGUAGUGUUUGAGAUGAUGAUGAUCUCUUCUGGUUUGGUUAAGUUUUGUGACUAUUGUCGAUUUCUGCUUCUCUUUUUGAUGCCUUGGGGUAGUCUGCGUUUUCCUGUGUCUUUUGCUAAUCUAAUCUAUAUAUCUAUAUCGGUGAGAUAAGAAUUUUUUCUUUACUAUGACUAUCUCUUGAGAAGGUUUAUCAUCUUGAAUCUGUAAAAUGGAGUUCUAUAUUGUUAUCGAGACAAGUAACUUACUUAUUUUGGCUUCAGUCUAUAAUUUGGUUGUUCUUAGAAUUAUAGAUGGAUGAAGAAAUAGUUUGAUCUCAUUCAGUCUUUAUAUAAAUAUCUCUGUGUAUAAUUACUUGUGUGUGGUACAUAUAAUGAUUGGUAUUGGAUGAGAAGGUGACUGAUUAAAAGGAAGGUGCUCUUAGGCAUGAUUACGGAGGCAUACUGGCAUAGUUUAAUUUUUAUUUGGAGAAGCCGUUUUAGAGUUCUUCAUAUCAGUUCUUUGAUCAUUACUUUCUGUCCAUAUAUUUGUGUUUGGGAUUGUCUUCACCCAAUCGGCAAGUGUAACUACUCUUAUUUUCCUUUGAAGCAACACCAAUCUUUUAGCGUGUUUGUAAUUAAAGAAUCCCCACAUGAUUAAAAGGUUUCAAUCAUGAUUGGGGUAUUAUUUAGUAUGUCUCAUGAACGGCCCUAAUUUUGGAUAUUCUUUGUUACCUGUUUACCGAUUGUAUAGUUAUUUUUAUGGAACUACAUGGUGGUAGUGAAAGGUAGUAGGUAAUGGCAAUGGUGAUACUGAAUCCUGUUUGUCAUUUGGGAGUUGGCCUUGAUAGUUCUUCAAAGCUACCUGUUUCCUCAUUGUUAUAUAUAGGACACUUCUGUUAUUAGUUUUUGUUCUAUGUUGCUUAUUAGAUAUAGUUCAUGAUUCAGUAAGAUCUAUGAGGGUUUUUGUCUUUGUUUAAUGGAGAUUUGGUUCUUCUUAGUUAUCUGAAAUUGAUAUACAAAUCACUGUUUUGCAAUGUAAUUGAUUUCAUAGUUUUGUGUAUAGCUUUCAUACAAAACAAGCAAAGAUGACCCAUUAUGAAAAAGGGGGAAGGAAACCAAAAUCGUUUAACACCUCCAGUUUGGUUGUUCUUGGCUUUACAAUGACGGCUUCCAUGUUUUGGGGUUUUAGUGAUCAGUCAAAUAAGGCGCUGGAAAGCAACCUGGUAAGUUUGCUCCUCCAAAAUUGAAUUCAGUAUGUUUCUGCAUAAUUUAUAUGACACGACCCACCCCAAAUUUCACCAUGAAACCCGGAGUAAGUCGUGCGGGGACCACCUCCAAAGAAAAUUUACCGAAAAGAUUGGUAAAACCUCCCUUAAAAAUGGACAACCCUAACUCGAAAAUUCCAGAUUUACACUCUUACUACAACACGUCUAAACUUCACAUAAAUAUCCAGCUAAUAAAAGCAAACAUUAUCCUUCAGAAAUUCUAAACAUCAAAUCAUCAGGCCGAGCACACCACGAAAUAAUAAACAAUAAUCCAAAGUAUCUAGAGCUACUAGACUGUAGCGGAAGCAAGAAAACACGAGUAGGUUAAACAGGUAGGUUGAACAGGUAACCUACUGAUGAAAACUGGUAGAAAUGCGGGUGACUAUGUCUCAUCUCCUACUAGAUCCCACCCGAACUCUGCAGACUGGGCAUUUUUAAAAUGAAGGGCCUAGGGGAAAAAACAUUUAAUAACGUUAGAGUGAGUGGACAAAAAUAAAUUAAUAAAUAAAAUAUUUAUGUUUCCCCAAAUCAAUUUAUAAGGAAAAAUCGAAUGCAUGCCGCAAGCGAUAAAACUUUUAUCUCAUAAAAUAUGGAGCCUUUCAGACUCUAUAAUAUAUGUAUGUAUUUACACACGUCCAUACUCCUUAUAUAAAUUCAUGGGUCUAUAUAGGGCUACUACACUCGCGUCCAACGCUCACGUCACGUCUUAAUGCGGUGCUACAUUACGCCAUUAAGGUGGAUAGACGGGUGUAUAAAUAUGUGUUCAUACCCCCUAUGUGAAUUAAACACUCAUAUAAGGCUACUACGCUCACGUCCAACGCUUACGUCACACCAUAAUGCGGCUAUAUACUACGCCAUUAAGGUGGACAGACACAUAUGGUUAGUUAGCAUUUAUAUACAUACACUCUCAUAAAUACAUAUUUAUAUCCACCGAAAAUCCCAUUUUUUGUAACUCUCCAAGAUAAAUAAAAAUCGUCAAAUUAAAAUGACGUCAAAAUAUUCCGCAACAUUUAUUGUUCAACCAUGAACUAUAGCAUGCAUUUAUUUAAAAUAAAGGUCCACUCACAAAUUUGGCCUAAGCCUGAUGUCGAUCUGGGGCCUCGUCUGUUCGAGCCUCCUCACUUCCUGUUCCAAAUAUAAUAUUAAUUUCCCACUAAAAAUCCAAUAAUUAAACAAAAUGAACAAAAUUAAACGUGAGCCUCCCACACACUCAUCAUUGCCUAACUUCGCCAUUCUUAACUCAAUAUGGCUCAAACUUCAUCGAACAUACCGGCAGCCGUAAAUACAACCUCCCCCAAAAUACGACUUGGAUUCUACAUUAUUUAACCGUCAAAAUACUAAACUUCGGAAAAUCACAAACCUAUUAAAAAAUUCCAUAAUUCAUUUCAAUAAACUCCUCUUAAUAUUCCACAUUUAAAACCCUAAAAAUCUCCCAAACAGCGGCGGCGGCUCCACCGGCCGAUUUCGGCAACCUGCAAUGCCUAUGAAAUUUUGACAAAAUAAUCCUCUCAUCAUGCUGUACAACUUUCCUAACUAGCACAAACCCAAAAUCCAAGCCUAGCUAUGCCAAUCGAGCAAAAACAUCAAAAUCACCCUAGAACUUCCACAUCAAAUUUCUCCUUACCUGAAGCGAACCGGAGUGAGUCCUUUUAGGGCAAAGCAGCUGGGUUGGAGACUUACAAAACCGUACCAAGCUUGCCCGGACUAGUGGCCGGAGGAGUGAGUUCCGGCGAGUGAAGCAACACGGCAGUCGCACCUUUCGGGGGAGAGCGCUCCUUCACAGCGGCGCUAGGGCGGCUAUCACCGGCCUAGAAUGGAAGCUGGGUCGGAGGGCAACCGAACGGGACCGGUGUGGCAGUCCCAGGCGGCCGGACGGCGGCGGACGAGCGGCCAGAAUGUUGGGCAGCGGGUGGACUUGGGGGAGAGGAAAACCAGGAAGAAAAAGAGAGAAGAGAAGAGUGGGUUUUGGGCCUCCACCCAAACCGGUCCAAGCCUAAUAUACCCAACUCCACUAAAAAUAAUUACACCCCAAAAUAAUACCCUAAUAAAAAUUACCUUUUACUAGCUAAAAUUUACCAUUUUUACCGUCGUCAUAAUUUUCUCCUACGAAUAACUCUCCGAAUUAAUCGUCCCCCGAAACCCCUCUAGGGACCAAUUAAACUAUAACUUACGGAGACGGUAAAAUUCUUAUUAUAAUCAAGCUAGUAAAUAUAAAAAUUUAAAGGUCGGGAUGUGACAUUAUAAGCAAGAACCCUAGAGCUCUCCUGGGGAGCAUUUAAGCUACAGAAUGGUGCCCAGAUGAAAUUUACUUUCAUAUUGGUUGUUCACUGAUUGAAACGCGAAGCUUAAUGAUUGUUUCUGUUGGUGUUUUGAUUAUGCAAUAUCUGAGUUAUGCUUCUUGCUGUUGUUAUGCUAUGGAACUUGUGAAUUUUGGCUUGAAAAUUGUUAUGGCUGCUCUCCCAAGCUCAUAAUAUUUCUGUUAAAACUAAACGACACAAGAUGGAUUGAUAAAAUUUUCUAGCAGUUGAUCGCUGUGCUAUGAAGAUAUAAGGUACAUCAAUAUGACAGUUUUUCAAGAUCAUAUUAAUAUUUUGAGAUAUACAUAUUGCACAUAGCAACAUAUUUUUGAGAUAUUAAGAUAAUUAUACAGAUUGAGAAAUUGGCAUUUGUUUUUGCUAUUUAAAGUUGUGUUUGCAUCUUCCACAGAAGCUUAUAAACAAUCACCACUUUAAUCUAGCAAAAGGCACUUAAUAAUGCAGUACAGGUCAUGUAAAGCAUAGUUGAUUUACUUCUCCUUGCUAUACAUGUGUUGAUUAAAUUGAUGUAAUAAUUGAUCUUUGCUGCAAUGGUUAUGAAAAAAAAAAAAAGGAAUAACAUGUGCUUUGCCAAGCAAGUAGACUUGUUAUUAAAGUUGUAUGCAAGAUAAAAGGAAAAAGAGGAAAGGAAAGUUAGUAUACCACUAAGUACGAUCCAAUAAAGUAAUGUUUGAUAACCUUUUAACUGAGCAAGAUCUUGUUUCAAUAACCUGUUUUAUUACUGUUUUACUUUCCUGGUAUUUGAUUGGCUUUGGAGUUACAACGAAAGUUUAUGGGUGAGGCAGUACAUGCUGGUAAGUAUUGUGUUACAGAACUUCUGAUUGUUUGAUAUGAGAGUAAAUAUAAAUUUGCAUACUUGGAUUAACAUUGUUGGAUGUUAUGCAAUGUAGAUCACUGAUGUCUCCAUGUGAGUUGUUUGCAGGAACCAUUGGUUUCUUGCAGGUUGGAAGACAAAUGAACAAGGAAAGUAAAGCUCUCUUGGUAAUCUAGUUACCACUUUGUGCUGGUGAUUUUGGGGAUUACUACACCUUACCAUGUGGCGUAGGGAUAAAGUAAGUAGGGAUUGUGUCUCCCUUGGGUGAAAGACCCUAAACCUGAUUGGGGCUCGUGGUGUACGAGCGGAUAAUUAAGUAGGGAUUGUGCCUCCCUAGGGUGAAAGACCCAAAACCCAAUCGGGGUGCCGCGGUGUGAGGCGGAUUACCGCCCAGUGCGGGGUUUUACGGCGGAAUGCCGGGUUUUACGGCCUAGUGCUGGGUUUACGGCUGCACGCCGGGUUUUACUGCCAAGUGCGGGGUUACCACCGGGUGUGGGGUUUUACGGCCUUGUGCCGGUGAUGUUUUGAUGGCUUUUCAGUGUGCCGUGGUUACUGCUUUUUACAGGGUGCUCUCAAUUGUUUUCAAGAGGUAUUGGGCCUAACCAGGAAUAUGAGGAAUGGAAAGAAAAGAUGAAAUUGCCAAGAGAUGAACUGAACCUUAUUAAUGGCAAUGAUCUGAUGAAUGGUAAGAUAAUGUAUGGCCUGGUCUGAAAUUGCACAAUAUGGUAUUGAGCUUGUUUGAGUCAGAAUAAUUUUAGUUUGGGACGGUACUUGAUAAGUACAUUUAUUUUAGAAAAGCUUCAUUACAAACUGACCCAAGCAUAUAAGGUUUUGCUAUGACCACAUGAUUGAUAAAAUAUAAGCUUGGGAAAGGUUAUCUUUUAUACCUUCUGAACUGUAGGUACAUAAAGGUUGAAUGUAAAUGGUAUUAUACAAGAUCUAGCAAGUAUGAUUUUCAUGGGACAACUCAAUAUGCUAGAGUUGCAAAUGAACUUUGUUCCUUUAAAAUUGAUAGCACUGUGAUUAUUACCUAUGUUCCAAUAUCUGAUAUUAUGGAAAACAAUGUAAUGCAUUUGCGCUUUACAAUUAUGUCAGGUAAUCAUGGCUGAUAUGUUGGGUAUAUCAAUGCUGCUAAAACCUUACUCUUGUAUCAGCUAUUCGGCUGCUGGUUUUUAGGAUAGAAAUCUCAGUGAUAAUAGACAUUGUGACUCCACAGGUAUCACAAUUGAAACGCACUUCAAACAUUCUUGUGCACAAAAUAUAUGAUCGUGUGGUAACUAGAUACGAGCUGUUGCGUUUGCUUUUAAAUACAAAAUCAGUAAAGUGCUACAUUUUCCUAUCAUAGUUGGAAUAAAAGGGAAAAUAUAUAUAUAUAUAUAUAUACACACACACUGAAGUCUGAAGUCAAGGCUUAAUACCCUUGAAAUACUCUUUAAUUAGUGUAAACACACAUAACAUAGGAGUCAUAUGUGUGACAUGAAAUUUGCAUGAUCGAGCAAGCAGUGUUCGAGAAAAGACUAGAAAACACUUGAGGGGGUUUGACUCGAGUGCAUCUAGUGAACACAAGUAUAUGUACCGUGAUUAUUGUAAAGAACGACGUAAGGGUAUGAUGUUGUGUAUGUUUUUGUUCUGACCAUCAUCAACUUAUUUGAUUUGAAAUUUUGAGGACGAAAUUUUUAAAACGGGGGGAGAUUGUAAUACCCCGUACUUAAUAUGAAUAAUAAUAAUAAUAAUAAUAAUAACGGCUUGCGUGUUUACUUUACUAAAUAAAUUAUAGUAAAGCUGAUGUUUUAUCGUAAAAACAUUUAAUAUGUAUAGGCCUACACUGUCUCUUAUGUUUAGAUGGGCUUUGAAGCCCAGAUCGGUUAUAAGGCCCACAAUUACUCACUGGCCCAUAUUAAAAAGAAUAAGAUAUUUUUUUGGAAGAAAGAUCGAGAAAGAGGGAGACGUGGACUUACACCGACUUAGAAGGUUCGAGAAGGGUAUAGAGCUCUCUAGAUGGAGCUCUCGAGGAGAUAUAGAGAGAAGGUCACCAACUCUCCUCCUUCGGAGGACUCCUGGGACUUUCUUGGGCUUGUAUUAGUGGAGGGGAGGGGAGGAGAGAGAUGAAGAGCUCUCUAAUAGCGAAAGGGCACAAAUACGUCUCUCUAAUAGCGAAAGGGCACAUAUACGUCUCUCUUUCUCAUUCAAUCAACUCUCUCACUUUCACUCUCCCUCUCUCUGUCGGAUUACGGUGAUAACACCGAUCGUGUGAAGAAUGAAAGGGAAGAGAUCCGGUCACUAGCUGUGGGAUAUCGAACUGAAAAGGAAGAUGAUUUCUUGAUCGGGCCUCUGACGAUGAGGUAUCACUCAACAAUUUGAUGUUUAUGUAGCGAUUGAUUUCUUCGGAGGAACACCCAGGUAAUGAUUCAAUGGUAAGAGUGAAUCCAAUUUUAUUUUUAUCAAAGUGCAACAAAAUGAAUGAAAUGGUAUAGAAUCAAUUACCAUACAUGCUUGUAGAUUCAGAUUAGCUCUCUAAUACCCACCUUAGGUUCGGUAUAAUCUAGGGUCAGGGUGUUACACUUAAACUAAUCAUAAUUGAUGAUGCACAUCCUAUAUUUGUAAUUGCAAAACAUAACAUCCUUUAUUUGUCAUAAAUUGUCUAUUUGCAUCAUUUUUGUCAAAUCAAACAUAAUAGGAACAUGUGUGAAUGAACCAGUCUACUUGCAUUUUUUUAAU
rnacentral:lncRNA from 1 species